AAGGAGCACCUGUGGGAUCAGCAACUGUGGAAGGGGCGCAAUGGAAGCAGGUUUUGAGGGCUCAGCUAAAGCUAAUACACGGAGUUCCACUUUACCGCACUGCUACAUAUGGGACCUGCAAACUCAGUGGGGGCCCAAGACAGGUACAUUCGGGUCACGGCCAACAUGCGGAGAGAGAGAACACACACCUUUUCGAUUUUCACAUCCCCAACUCACUUUUCCUGAUGCAACUUUAUAAAUGAAGCAAGAAAACUACAACUUACAAUCGAUCACCAGACCAGCAAGAUCUUUUCCUUGAUUAUCCCAGAUAUAAAGAUGCCCUUUUUGUCAAGGUAGAUGUGAUCACAAAGGUUAGUGGUCAAGUAAGUCAAAAAAGCAGGAUUGGCUGAUCUGCUUCUCACUGUUUUUUUUUCCUUCAUAGAAUUAUCUACAUUUUUAGCAGAAUCAACAAGAUUGGAUGAUGGUCUGGUGUUGGGUAGUUAAGGGCAAGGAGGGUGCAUUAGCCACCCAUUCUGGACACCAUGUUGGAAGCAAGUAGCAGUCUCAGUUCCCC
rnacentral:lncRNA from 10 species